rnacentral:rRNA from 1 species
UAGGGAAUAUUAGAAAUGGACGAAAGUCUGAUCUAGCAACACCGCGUGUGCGAAGAAGGCCUUCGGGUUGUAAAGCACUUUUUGAGAGGAUGAGGAAGGACGGUACUCUCAGAAUAAGUCUCGGCUAACUACGUGCCAGCAGCCGCGGUAACACGUAGGAGGCAAACGUUAUCCGGAUUUACUGGGUGUAAAGCGCGUGCAGGCGGUUCAGAAAGUUGGAUGUGAAAGCUCCUGGCUUAACUGGGAGAGGUCGUUCAACACUUCUGGACUCGAGAGUGGGAGAGGGAGGUGGAAUUCCGGGUGUAGUGGUGAAAUGCGCAGAUAUCCGGAGGAACACCAGUGGCGAAAGCGGCCUCCUGGACCAUUCCUGACACUCAGACGCGAAAGCUAGGGUAGCAAACG